ACAGGCUGUUAAUCGAUGGCUUUCAAAAUCAGAGUCCGGGGUCCAUGGGCUUUCUAACACCCAAAAGAGAAAUGAAAUCAUUUCUUUCUUUUGUAAGCUGAAAGCUUGCACAUCUGAGGACGACUUUAAAGCCACAUCAGCAGAGUUCUGCCAGACAUUUAAGCAAUACCCUUUGGUGUGCCAGUAUUUUCAGAAGCACUGGGAAGGCAUUGGCCACAUGUGGUGUGACUACGGCCGUCGCUUCAGUCACGCUCGUUCUGAAACAAACAAUGUGAUUGAAAGAUUUUUCCACCGCCUGAAAUACCAGUUUUUAUCUGGCUACAAGAAUAGGCGUCUGGAUGAUCUGAUUGAAGUGCUCCUAGGGAAGGCCGACGACUACUUGUCAGUCAUAAAAACCCUGCAAGAUGUGGGCCGCAUGAAAAACAGGUUUGCUGACACCUUGUCUCAAGUUUCAGACUCUGCUUCAAGACUGAUGGAAAGUGGUUGGGCUCUUAAAAUUACAGUCAAGAACAGCCAUGGAGUUAAUGCAUAUCAAGUCCCAUCUGAGUCAAGAGAAGACAUGGUGUAUGAUGUCUGCCCUGUUGAGUCCUACUGCAACUGUACAUAUGGCUUACGAGGACUUCUUUGCAAGCAUCUAGUGUUACUUGCAAAAUUAGCAGAGGCUGACAAUGACAUCUAUCCAAACAUGGAAACAGACAUUUCUACCUUGGCAAGAAUUGCAGUGAAAGAAAGGCAUUACUUUGUACACUGUGAGGACUUGAAAGUGAUAAAAAUGCCAAGUUUGUUUGGAAAUCUGUGUUUUUUUGCAUCGGCUGAAACACUUCAGUGCACUUGUUGUACGUUCUCUCACUAUAACACAUGUGCUUGCCUGAAGGUGGCUUGUAGCCAUUUUAAACAAAUGAAAAACUCUCUGAAAAGUCCUCUAUCAACUUUGAAUGACACUCCUGUAGUUGAAAGCACAGACAAAAAAUGCACAGAAGAUGCAGUUGGAAAACUAAAUGCUGUUUUAGACACAGUUAAACAGUGGGCAUUCAUUCCAGAGGGUAUUACUCCAAUGAUAGAUGAACUGCAUACAAAUGUCUUAAAAACAAAACAAGUAGGCAAAAGUAUAUGCCAGUACGAAAUAAAGACGACAGAUAAUGCACGCAAAAUUAGGCCAUUGUAUUCUAGCAAGAAACGUUCGGCCAGCAUCGACAUUCCAACAGUCUGUGAAAAUGAAUGUGAACAGUCGAUAACCACUGAAAGAGACACAUCCUCUGGAGAAAAUGAAAACCUUUUGGAAUACAAAACAAAAAAGAGAAGAGUUAAAGCUAAGUAUAUGCACAAGUAGACUUUUGUGUGACAUUUCAAAGGGACUGCAUCCAUUACUUCUGUUUAUUGAAACCUAAAGCUGAAUAGCUGUCUUAACUUUCUGCCAAGGAACAGUUGAAAAGAAAUUGUUUGGUCUCUCAAGCAGUUGUUAUUUAUGUGUGUUAUUCAUUACUUUGGCUUGGUUGCUGUUUUUGAUACAAAUUCAUCUGUGC
ensembl:lncRNA